rnacentral:misc_RNA from 1 species
GUUUUUGGUUGUACAUUGUACAAUAGACAUUCCAUUACAUUCAGAGUGUGUGAAAGUUACUCGAGUACCAGGGCGUUUGACAGCCCAUGCAAAGCGGUACUCAGAGUCAUAUAUGCACAAGUGUGUGGGGUUUGCGACUUUGUUGACGUGCACAUGUGUCUCCACCAGCACAGACAACAAAGCCGACUUUGAAGUUUCAUUAAUGAUCCUUCCGCAGGUUCACCUACGGAAA